GACGAACGCUGGCGGCGUGCCUAAUACAUGCAAGUAGAACGCACAGUAUAUACCGUAGCUUGCUACACCAUAGACUGUGAGUUGCGAACGGGUGAGUAACGCGUAGGUAACCUGCCUGGUAGCGGGGGAUAGCUAUUGGAAACGAUAGCUAAUACCGCAUAAUAUUAAUUAUUGCAUGAUAAUUGAUUGAAAGAUGCAACUGCAUCACUACCAGAUGGACCUGCGUUGUAUUAGCUAGUAGGUGAGGUAACGGCUCACCUAGGCGACGAUACAUAGCCGACCUGAGAGGGUGAUCGGCCACACUGGGACUGAGACACGGCCCAGACUCCUACGGGAGGCAGCAGUAGGGAAUCUUCGGCAAUGGACGAAAGUCUGACCGAGCAACGCCGCGUGAGUGAAGAAGGUUUUCGGAUCGUAAAGCUCUGUUGUAAGAGAAGAACGGGUGUGAGAGUGGAAAGUUCACACUGUGACGGUAUCUUACCAGAAAGGGACGGCUAACUACGUGCCAGCAGCCGCGGUAAUACGUAGGUCCCGAGCGUUGUCCGGAUUUAUUGGGCGUAAAGCGAGCGCAGGCGGUUAGAUAAGUCUGAAGUUAAAGGCUGUGGCUUAACCAUAGUACGCUUUGGAAACUGUUUAACUUGAGUGCAGAAGGGGAGAGUGGAAUUCCAUGUGUAGCGGUGAAAUGCGUAGAUAUAUGGAGGAACACCGGUGGCGAAAGCGGCUCUCUGGUCUGUAACUGACGCUGAGGCUCGAAAGCGUGGGGAGCGAACAGG
rnacentral:rRNA from 1 species